AGCCAAGCCCUUUCUUCCUGUUCCUCCUGCUCAGGUUGAGGCUUCACUUUCCAUGGAGAGAGGCCCCUUCCUGCACCCUGGGGAGGGAGGCUGUCCACAGGUAGGGCCAGGCCCGGUCAGUGGUGCAUGGCCUGAGUAGGGUGGGGGGGCACGGGACCCCUGGAAGGUGAGAGACCAAGAGCCUUAGCUGGUCUGGGGGCUGGUGUGGGGGCGAGCAGAGCCAGUCCCGCCCUUCCCAGCAAGUGAGGACGACCAUGACCUGGUUCCUGGAAGGCGGAACAAGGAGUGGCGGGAUUUCUGCAGGUGUGACCGGGGUUUCUAAUCAGGUGACUUGGCGUUCAUCAGAAGGGAGGUUGAUCUGGCCGAGCCUGGCUAGCUCAGGUGCACCCUUUAAGAGGCUGGAAGCCACAGAGCCGCCCCCUCCUGAUGCCAAAGAAGCAUAUGGCCAUCGGCUCCACAGCUGCGAGAAAGAUUAUGCACACAACGACAUGCGCUCAGGAGGGGACCUCGCGCCUCGGUUGAGAUCCCAGCCCUGGCUGACACCUUGAGUGCAGCCUGUGAGACCCUGAGCAGAGGUUCAGCAGUCCCCUCCCCGGACUCCUGCCACACAGAAGCCAUGAGGCAUCCCCAUCACACACUAGGCUUGGUGACUGCACUUGAGGGACUCACAGGACUUAGCCUACCAUCAUACUAGUGGCUGGGAUUUACUACGGUGAAAAGAUGCGACGCAGAAUUAGUAACAGGAAGAUGCAUUUGGGGUGAGGGCCGGAGGAAACCAGGUACAAGCCCCCAGAGUCCCCUCCCCUGGGGUCCCCUCCCGCAGAAUGUGCUGAAUCCUCCAGCCUCGAGCUGUGACAUGUGCAAAGUGUUCUCUACCAGGGAAGCCUGCCUGAGCCCAGGAGUCCAGGGUUUUCACUGGGGGUUGCUCAUGUAGGUACGUUGUGCCUGCGUGACUGAAUAUGGUCACCGAAAUGCCAGGCUCAGAAGAAAAGCAAGUGUUCAGCAAAUAUCACAUGAUUUGUAUAGAAAAGAGUGAGCAGUUGUUAUUUGGGGAUAGUAUUGUAUCCACAUAGGAGCUCUUUACCAGUCAAGUUCCCAGAUGCCAGCUGGGCGUGGUGGCUCAUGCCUGUAAUCCCAGCACUUUAGGAGUCCGAGGCGGGUGGAUCACUUGAG
rnacentral:lncRNA from 1 species